rnacentral:lncRNA from 1 species
GAGGCAUUCUGCCUAGUAUCUUGCAUGUACUAGUUUUGUUAGUGCCUAUAAGACUGGUAUAGUGAUAAUUAUAUACAUUUUUACAGAUGAGCAUGCCGAAUCUUUAGGGACUUUGUCCAAUUCUGAUCUGACAGAAAAAUCAAGCUCUUACCUAUGAUAUCAGGCAGCAAUUGCCUUGUAAUAAGCAGUCACAGAACCUCUGUGGUUUACAACUCUAAACAUUUAUUUUCACAAAUCUGCCCAUCAGGUUAGGUGUCUUAAGCUGAUCUUGGUUGGGCCUAACAAGAUGGCUCCAAGCAGCAUAUCAAAUCCAUCUCUGCUCCACACAUCCCUCGACCUCCGUGGAUCAGUGAACAGACUGGCUGGACCAUGGUCUUCUCAUGGUGAUGACAAAAGUGCUGAGGGUUUGAAACCUGGCAAAACAAGAACUGGGAGGAAAAUAACUCUGUUUAGUGAAUGAAGAAAUUUACAUUCUGUCAUAUUUGUGAAGAGCUUAGAGAGACAGUAUCUUCUAUAUCUGAGAUAAUCAUUAGGUAUGUGAUUAGAAAUGUUUCAGUACCUUGAAACUGCUAUUGAAACCCCACUGUGCUGUGAGCUAAUAGGAUUAGUGCCCUAGCUUUGUAUAUCCCCUACAUGAACACUCUAAUGUGAACUGAAAAUACUCUCCUGAGCCCUCGGGUGGCUCAGUUGGUUAAGCAACUGCCUUCUGUUCAGGUCAUGAUCCCGGAGUCCUGGGAUCAAGUCCCACACUGGGCUCCCUGCUCAGCGGGGAGUCUGCUUCUCCCUCUGACCUUCUCCUCUCUCACUCUGUCUCUAUCAAAUAAAUAAGUAAAAUCUUUAAAAGAAGAAAAAGAAAAUAUUCUGCACUCCAACAGGAAGCGUCUCAAGCUCCGAAACACACUGUUACUACACUGACCUACAAAAGAAAUGUUCCAAAAAUAUCAGUCUGGCCAAGUCAGGUCUAUAUUGAAGUACAGACGGAUGUCUGCCAGAAAACGGAUGUUUGAGCAGAUCUCCAGAGAAUUCAGACAAGAGCCGGCCUGGGCAUGCAGUGUCUAAUACCCACAGGUAGACUUGCCCCCAAUCAGCCAGAUGGCAAUUCAAAAAGCAAUGGCACCGGAGAUCACAUUCGCUUUGAGUCUGCCCCGCCCCGCCACUCGGGAAAACCCUUAUCUCAAGCUCUCGGAAUGAAUAAUUGAGAGUCAAGGCCAAUUGGAACUUACUGUAAUGGGACUCAUCUCAAAACCCCCAUCACUGUAACUCAAUUCUAGAAUUGUGCUGUCCCUGCAAAACCUGUGGUCAGGUUUUAGGCCUUUCUUUUCAAAACAUAGAAGCUAAAUCUGUGCCGCAAUUACUGCACGGGGACAGCAUCGAUCUCACAACCAGUCCUGGAUCCCAC